UACGUAGGGUGCAAGCGUUGUCCGGAAUUAUUGGGCGUAAAGAGCUCGUAGGCGGUUUGUUGCGUCGGCUGUGAAAACCUGAGGCUCAACCUCAGGCCUGCAGUCGAUACGAGCAGACUAGAGUGUUGCAGGGGAGACUGGAAUUCCUGGUGUAGCGGUGAAAUGCGCAGAUAUCAGGAGGAACACCGGUGGCGAAGGCGGGUCUCUGGGCCGAUACUGACGCUGAGGAGCGAAAGCGUGGGGAGCGAACCAGG
rnacentral:rRNA from 1 species